rnacentral:lncRNA from 1 species
CGUGGCUUUGUGACCAGGGUUUCUUGGUGUCAUUUCUGUGUCAUUUGGGGGACUGGUUGUAUGUGGUAUGGUUCUUGGACUUGGCCAUGUCUGCAUGGUAACUGGAGGCUCUGUGCUUGUUUUUAAAAUAUGUCUCAGGCUGAAGAGAUGGCUCAGUGGUUAAGACUCUGACUGCUCUUCUGAAGGUCCUGAGUUCAAAUCCCAGCAACCACAUGGUGGCUUACAACCAUCCGUAAUGAGAUCUGAUGCCCUCUUCUGGUGCAUCUGAAGACAGCCACAGUGUACUUAUUUAUAAUAAUAAUAAAUAAGUCUUUUUUUUAUAAAAAGUCUCACACCGGAGCUCAGGCUGACCUGCAACUUGGAGGAGUGAUGCUCCUGCAUAGCUUCCUGUGAGCUGGGACUAACAGGUAUGGACCAUUAUGCCCAGCAUGCCGCAGGAUUAACUUGACCGUUGUCCACUGGCCCUGGUAUGUGAACCCCAUUCUGUCCCUCUGCCUUAUCAUUAAGGCUCUAAACAAGCAUAGGUCAGGAUGGCUGUGAAAGAUGAUGGCAUCCACAAAAGGAGCCGCUCACCAGUUCCUGAGCUGAGUCACCGCCCUUAGCCCCUGAACCUCAAGGCAGGAAUGCAUGCACACAAACACCAGGCACAGAGGCAGAUGCUUGUAAUUUCAGCUUUUAUGAGGCUAGGGCAGUGGACUGAAGUGAAUUAGAGAUCAGCCUGGGCUCCAUAGUUAGGCUUUGUCCUUUGAUUAGCACAUAAACAAACAAAUAAAGAGAACAAAUAAAUAAAAGGCAAACGUGUGCCCACGACCACCAGACAAUUACCAAACUUAGAUGAACUCGGAAAGAUCAGCAAACGUCUGCCAUUUCCUUGGUCCAGGGAGCAGCUGCCAUUAUCUAUAUGGGCUGUCCUUGCAGCUAGAGGUGAGGUCUUCCAGGAAGUCCUCCAGGGAGUCCUCCAGCAGGGGCCUAAGUCCCAGCAAAGGACCCUCCCUUGCCAUUAGGGUAACUUUUUUAUGCCUGAUGCCAGGUAACAAUGUUACCCCUGGCCACAGGAAGUACUCCAGGUUUUGUUUAGCUGGGGUAAGGGGACAGAACACGGAGGCAGGGCCUUUAUUGGGGGUUUUCAAGGAGUGGUACAAAGCAGGCAGGGGCAACCAGCUUUGAAUAAUUCCAGCAGGAACUGGGUUGUAGAUGCAGUAGCUAACUGGUACCAGGUCCUUGGAUGACUUAGGGCAGAUGAUAUUUUCGCUUGGUGUGAGAGCUGCAGAAGAGGCAGGUGUUGCUGCAGAUGUGGGACUUACAAGUUUACAUGUGAAAGGCACGCUAAUUCUGAAUUAGCGUGUGUGUGUGUGUGUGUGUGUGUGUGUGUGUGUGUUAUGUAUGGGCACAUGCAUAUACAAGGACAUUUAGAGGUCAGAGGUUAGUACUCAGUGUCUUCCUCAGUCAGUCUUUUUACUUUUUGAGGCCAGUUUCUUUCACUGAACCUUGAACUGACCAUUUCAGCGAUCCACCUGUCUCCCUCAUCACGGAUCCUGGGAUCACAGAUAUGUGCCACCAUGCCCAGCAUUUUUAUAUGGGCACUGGGGUUCUAAAUUCAGGCCUUCCUGCUUUUGC